GACUUCUUCGAAGUACGUCUGUGUUUUUAGAUUCUCUAUAACUUUCUUUGUUUCGAUGUGACCGAUGUUUUCUUAAAAUAUUUUUUUCGCAUUUGGCGAUUUUUUUAAUAAACCCAAAAGAAAAGUUUUUUUGAGGGGUGGGGGUCGGAAGGAUUUUUCCUACUAUUUUGUUGACAGAAUCUUAUUUGGUAGAGGAAUGCAACGUUUUACAUGACUUUUGCCAACAUUGCAACUGAAAAACUGCCGAUGUGCCGAGUGAAAGUUUUUCUCGAGAAUGUGGACGAAGGUCCAAUUUCUGGUUAAUCAGGAAUUUGUUGGUAUAGUUAAUCACUAAA